GCCAGGCUGCUCUCCUGACUGGGUCCUGGAGCCUACAGUAAGGGGUGAAACGACUGUGUGACCUGGGCUGCAAACUCAGAAUGUUCUUCUUGCACUUCCCACAUUGUCCACUACGGGAAAGUAGAACAUUGGCUGCACCCUUCCCACCUCUUGACUGGCUUCUAAUGCCACUACUGUCUUUUAUGAUACAGACCAUGACACCCACCAAUUUCCUAUGAAUAACUGGGAGUUCAAUCUUGGUGGGGGACAAUAAAGUACAGCAUAUAUCUCAGCUCUUCCACUCAUUCCAUUCUACGGAGACAAAGGAUGCCAGGAGAAAAGGUUAAGGUGAGUCCAUGUGUUCAAGUACAUCAAGUAAGACUCAAAUAAACCCCUUAAAGGGAUAGUUCACCCAAAUGUCGAAAAUACAUAUUGGUUUCUUAAUGUCGGGAUAUUGACCUGUGUUGGUUUUGGGCCACAAAUGCUAAACAGUUUGCAGGUAAGGCCAGGUAAGCAAAACCAAAGCACGGAUUGCUGUCUUAGCUUUGUCCAUAGACUGCUUACAGGGUAAGGAAGCAGAGUAAGGAAACCAAUAUGUAAUUAUAUAAUUUGGGUGAACUGUCCCUUUAACCCCUUCAAUAAAUAACAUUGGUUCAUCAAGCAAGACUCAAAUGCACCGCUCCCCCCUCCACGUCACGCACACACGCACACACAAGACAGCUGGGAAUGGGACCCUUAACAUGUCAUUGAGGGACAUGGUCUGGUAUGUUCCGAUCUAGAAGCUAAUUACAGAGGCUCAAGGUUGAAGCUAGGCACAGGUGUGAAGUUGUAAGAGUCAAAAGGGCUCCAAAAGUUUACAGAAGAAAAUGCAGGGCAUUAACCCCUUGCACACACAGGUCUCGAAGGAGGUCCCUUUCUUUCCAGCUAUGUGACAACCUUGUAGACAGCUUCACACUUUCACUGUCUCGAAGGAGAUCACUUUCUUUCCAGCUAUGUGACAACCUUGUAGACAGCUUCACACUUUCACUGUCUCGAAGGAGGUCACUUUCUUUCCAGCUAUGUGACAACCUUGUAGACAGCUUCACACUUUCACUGUCUCGAAGGAGAUCACUUUCUUUCCAGCUAUGUCAACCACCACAUGACAACCUUGUAGACAGCUUCACACUUUCACUGGUGUCUUCCCACAGCCGCCGGUGUCUCAGACAAAAUUAGUACGUUUAACAUGCACACUAAUAAUUCGAUAUUAAACCGAUUUAUGGCAGUAGGGACGUUCAUGACCAUAGUAAACACCUGAAUCGGUGUUCCAGCGGCGUGUUUGAUCUGAGCAUGUGCAGCGAGGGAAAUGAAUUAGGAAAGACUUAAAUUAUGCAUCUUAGACAUAGUUUUCACAAACACACUUUAUACGUCCAAACUAGGGCUUCUCAAAAGAAAAUCUACUUGUAAUUUUGAUUCAGCAUUUAUCCGAGUGCCAUCAUGACUUCAGAUGUGUCCAUGUAAACAGCAUUAUUAGGGAAAUCGUUCUUCUUGCAAAGCAUGUAAACGUUUAAAACAAACUAUUAUAUUAAUCUAUCCACAAUGAUUGCAUUAUUUUGUGCAUAUAAAAUCAUACUCAGACCCCUAGUUGUUUUCUUCUGAAAGGUCCCUUGCCUGGGACCUUGUGGCACACUGGUCAAAAAGUUUGUUACUCACCUGAUAUUGUAUCGACCACCAGAUAAUGUAAUAACUUAGGACAUUAUCCAGGAAACAGUUACAUAUCAGUUCGACCGUUGUAUUAAAU